AACGAACGCUGGCGGCAGGCCUAACACAUGCAAGUCGAACGCCGUAGCAAUACGGAGUGGCAGACGGGUGAGUAACACGUGGGAACGUACCCUUUGGUUCGGAAUAACACAGAGAAAUUUGUGCUAAUACCGGAUAAGUGCGAGAGCAGAAAGAUUUAUCGCCGAAGGAUCGGCCCGCGUCCGAUUAGCUAGUUGGUGAGGUAAUGGCUCACCAAGGCGACGAUCGGUAGCUGGUCUGAGAGGAUGAUCAGCCACACUGGGACUGAGACACGGCCCAGACUCCUACGGGAGGCAGCAGUGGGGAAUAUUGGACAAUGGGCGCAAGCCUGAUCCAGCCAUGCCGCGUGAGUGAUGAAGGCCCUAGGGUUGUAAAGCUCUUUCGCCAGGGACGAUAAUGACGGUACCUGGAUAAGAAGCCCCGGCUAACUUCGUG
rnacentral:rRNA from 1 species